GCCUUCUACAGCACUGUCACUGAUUUGUGUAAUUUGUCUUUAGGCGCAACCUGAAUCGUUAGAAGGAGCGGUACUUACUGGCCUCUCAACUAUGGAGAUCAUUAGCUAUGGCAGAUAUUUGACACUGAAGAUGGACGCACGAUACAUGAGUGACCAGAUCACUUGCAGGUGACCCUCAUGGCUGACUCUGAAGUGACUGGAUGAGUAAAUCUCGUAUCAGGAAUCGAAUGCAUUUCAACCUGGUAUCCUUGAGCUGCAUGGGCUCGUCAACUUCCUGUCAAGGUCCAGUGACAUGUUGGAGCAGCGUGACGGGCCGUGUAUUCAGGGCCCAGAGGAAGAACAUGGGGAUGUGG